UUCUGCAUUCUGGUUCCCUUCGAUUGUUCUUUUCUGAUGUAACACAAGAGUCUAGUAACCUAGUACAAUGCUCAAGGAUGCAGUUGUUUAAUGAGUGAGGAGAAAUGUAUCCGUUAGUCAAUUAUAUAUCUAUUACAUCCUUAAAAAACAUUCUUGUUUUUUCUAUUUGGUGGACACAUUCUUUGAGACUUGUUCUUUCUAUUGGGAGUUUAAGUAAACUAGAAAAAGAGAAAUGGAAGUAUUGGAGAGCUUAUAACUCAUUUGAAGGAGUCUUGUAUUGCAAGCCUCAUUUUGAUCAACUCUUCAAAAUGACUGGUAGCCCGGAUAAGAGUUUUGACUUUUGAAGGUGCUCCAAAAAUGGCAAGGGAAACAUCCACUGAUCAGGUAUUUCCAAGAUGUCUGGGUUUUUGUGAUAAAUAAUGAUGUCUUUUAUGUCUUUAGUAAAAAAAUUCUUGUUAUUCCACACAUGGUCUGUUGCUUAUUUUGAGUUAAAAACUGGUCAGACAGACGGACACACACACAAGCAGCAAAGUUUCAAAACUUUUUGCUGGGACUCAAGAGAAAUGUGUUGCUUGCAACAAAACUUUUUACCCCCUUGAAAAUGUAAAUCAGUCCAUGCUUUAUUUCUGCGCACUUGUUCUUUUGAAUGAUUAGGGAAACCCGCAGCCACCACACUUAAACCUCGUUUUGUGACCCUAGUUGGCAAAAGACUACAAGAAAGUAGACCAGCCUAAGUUAUCAAUAGUUGACUAGCUCAAACCAAGAAGGCCAAUAGGCCGCUCCCACUUGGCUAGGGUUAGCCCAUUUUCUGCACACUUUGAAUUCUUUGCAUACUGCAUUAGUACCGCAUCUCGCAGGAUGAGGCUAAUUUAGUCAAGCUCUGAAACCUUUGGGCGACUUAAACCCCUUCCGCUUGAGCGAACACCUUUUUGAUACUUCUCCAUUCUUAUAAUAGAGGAUGGUGGGCAAGAAACCUUCAAAAUCAAUGUUAAUUUUCACAAAUUUGAGCAAAUGUUUGUUCGUCAGAAAACCGCUGUCUAAACAUGUAAGCAUGGGAUGUUGUUUCAACAAAUGAAAGUCUGCUAAAAGAUUGAAAAUGUUGAUUUUGGAGGUGGCAGUUGAAGGCACAUCAUACCAAAGGGCUUGCUUCAAGUGCAGCCAUGGAGUAUACAACCAACUUCUCUGCUUAAUUGAAU